rnacentral:rRNA from 1 species
AACCUUUACACUGCACGACAGUGCGAUAGGGGGACUCCGAGUGCGAGGGCAUAGAGCCCUCGCUUUUGUACACCGUAAGGUGGUGUACGAAUAAGAACUGGGCAAGACCGGUGCCAGCCGCCGCGGUAAUACCGGCAGUUCGAGUGAUGGCCGAUUUUAUUGGGCCUAAAGCGUUCGUAGCUGGCCGAUCAAGUCUGUCGGGAAAUCUGCUCGCCUAACGAGCAGGCGUCCGGCGGAAACUGAUCGGCUUGGGACCGGAAGACUCGAGGGGUACGUCCGGGGUAGGAGUGAAAUCCUGUAAUCCUGGACGGACCACCGAUGGCGAAAGCACCUCGAGAGCACGGAUCCGACAGUGAGGAACGAAAGCUGGGGUCUCGAACCGGAUUAGAUACCCGGGUAAUCCCAGCUGUCAACGAUGCCCGCUAGGUAUGGCGCAGGCUACGAGCCUGUGCUAUGCCGUAGCGAAGGCGCUAAGCGGGCCGCCUGGGAAGUACGUUCGCAAGAAUGAAACUUAA